rnacentral:rRNA from 1 species
UACGGAGGGGACUAGCGUUGUUCGGAAUUACUGGGCGUAAAGCGCACGUAGGCGGAUCUGUAAGUCAGGGGUGAAAUCCCGGGGCUCAACCUCGGAACUGCCUUUGAUACUGGCGAUCUCGAGUCCGGGAGAGGUGAGUGGAACUGCGAGUGUAGAGGUGAAAUUCGUAGAUAUUCGCAAGAACACCAGUGGCGAAGGCGGCUCACUGGCCCGGUACUGACGCUGAGGUGCGAAAGCGUGGGGAGCAAACAGG